CCCUUAGAUGUUCUGGGCCGCACGCGCGCUACACUGAUGCAUUCAACGAGUUUUUCCUGGUCCGAGAGGAAUGGGUAACCUUUUGAAAGUGCAUCGUGCUAGGGAUAGACUAUUGCAAUUAUUGGUCUUCAACGAGGAAUUCCUAGUAGACGUAGUUCAUCAGACUGCAUCGAUUACGUCCCUGCCCUUUGUACACACCGCCCGUCGCUACUACCGAUUGAAUGGUUUAGUGAGAUCUCUGGAUUGACGCUGGCUAGGGGGCGACCCUUGGCCAGACUGCUCGAGAAACUGCUCAAACUUGAUCAUUUAGAGGAAGUAAAAGUCGUAACA
rnacentral:rRNA from 1 species